GAAACCUGGUAUUUGGGAGACUAUUACUGAUCUCCCAUUGAUGAAGCAUUCUAGUUGUUGCCCACUGAUUAAAGGGCUCUGAUGCCAAUUUGUUGCAGAAUCCCUGAGUUAGGGUACUUCCUCAGAUAAUAAGAAGAAGGGAGAUGAGAGAAUAGAAGAAAUAAGGAUGAGAAGUAGAAGAAAGGAGAUGAGAAAAUAGAAGAAUAGGGAUGAGAAAAUUAGAGAAAAUGCUAAUAGGAGAGAAGAAUAGAUUCUGUUUUGAUGAAAAACUGUCUCUCUACACUUCAAUGCUUCUAUUUAUAAAAUAGUAUUCAGCUAACAACUACUGUUGACUAUUCAUAACUGUUUCUGUUAUUUCCCUCCACUCUCUACUAUCUAUAACAGACUCUGUAGCAAACUUCUCACUGCUAACUAUCUUUCCCUCCACUUCCUUUCUCAGCCUCAGCUAUCUUAUUCUUCCCUUUUCUUCUCCUGUAUGUGACAGUUGCUGUCCUAAAUAAUAUAUUCUUGCAAGUUUUGUGCUUGAAGCUGAUUUGACAAAGGUACACCCCUUCUCAGUUUUAAGGUCUACUUAAAAAGUUGACUUUAUGUAGAAAACUUUGUUAUUAUCCUUAAACAGUACCAGCAUAGAUUCUUCAGGUAGUUGUCAGCAGCAUAAAUAAAGUUUAAGGAUCACCAAAGAAUCCUAUCUGGAUAGCUCCGCCCAUUUUCUGCUUUGAUGGGGCAUACUCUGGGCUUCCUAGUUAGUUGACAGGAGCUAAGGUUUAGAACUUUUUGUUUUCAGAGGUUGGUUGGACUACUAAAUCUAUUUACUAAAAAAUUUGAAGCCCACAGGUCAAUGCAACGUCUCACUGUAAAAAAUAUAGAUGUCUAUGGACUGAUAAUCUGGCAAAACUGAAAGGAACAAAAUCAGUACAAUCAUGAACAUGAAAUAGAAUUUAGCUACACUGAUGACUACUGGAAUCACAUUGACUCAUUGCGAAUCAAAAUUGCUGCUAUAUAUCGGUUGUAGAGCAGAAAAUCACAAAUCAGUUUCACCAAUGGAUUGGAUGGAUUACCAUCUAGAGUGUCUAGCAUCUCACCUUUUAUAGCAAGGCCCAUUUUUCGUGUUGUUGGAAACAAGUGCUCUGCUUGAGUGAUUAGCCUGCCCAUUAGGCCAUACUUUCCAUUAUAAUGCCAUUAUUUUUAUUUAACAAUAACUUACAUGAUGACUUUGUUUAGCUCAGAUUUGUCUGUUUAUCUUUUGAUUCAAAAAAGAUGUUCUAUUUAAUUUGCUGGAGCACCAGUUUUCUGCAAAUGCUUGAUGCUUCUCCUUUUGAGAGCAUUUACCUUCCUGAAAUCAGACAGCUUACCAUUUUAAUCUAUAAACUUUUAGAUUGCCAUUAAUGAUUCUCUCUGCUAAAUUUUACCUGAUUGUGAGAUCUUGGGAGUAUUAACAUGUAUAAACUCUUUUCUUUUAUGGGUAUUGAAAUGUCAAUCCUGAAAUUUCAGGAAAGAUACAUGAGAUUGCAUCAUCAGGCAUAAGUAGUCUUAAAGGGCAUAGUGACAGGAGAAAUAAAUGCCUGAAUGACAUAAUUUCCCUAUAUGGGACUGUGCCUCUUGUUUCAAGCAAUGUAAAAGCUGUAGAUGCAAGACAAGAAUGGUUCUGGUAGUUGUGACCUUGGAAUUAUUUGGAGCCAUUAGCCAACCGAAUAGUUAUGCUUUCAGAUUCACCUCCUUGUUGCAAUCAAGUUCUGCAUUAUGCUUAUUCUACUUGUAUAUUUGUACAGGGGACCAUGUUUAAAUGAUUGUGAUGUUAACUGAUAUUUUUCUGAGUCACUCUCGCUCAUCUGCUCGUCACCCAUUCAAUGGCUGUUGACCUGUCCUAUACUUUGAUCAGAUUUUUAUUAAAAAAAAAAAAAAAAAAAA
rnacentral:misc_RNA from 1 species